GCCAGGUGCAGGGCACAUGCCUGUAUUCCCAGCGGCUUGGAGGCUGAGGCAGGAGGAUCACAAGUUCAAAGUCAGCCUCAACAAUAGUGAGGCUCUGAGCAACUCAAGUGAGACCCUGUCUCUA
rnacentral:sRNA from 1 species